rnacentral:rRNA from 1 species
CCCUACGGGGUGCAGCAGGCGCGAAACCUCUACAAUGCGCGAAAGCGUGAUAGGGGGAUACUCAGUGCUUACGCUUAUGGUGUAGGCUUUUAUCGAGUGUAGAGAGCUCGGUGAAUAAGUGGUGGGUAAGACCGGUGCCAGCCGCCGCGGUAACACCGGCGCCACGAGUGGUCGUCACGAUUAUUGGGCCUAAAGCGUUCGUAGCCUGUUUGGUAAAUCUCUUGUGAAAUUGUUCGGCUUAACCGGACAGCGUGCAGGAGACACUGCCAGACUCGAGACCGGGAGGGGUCAGAGGUAUUCCGUGGGGACCGGUAAAAUGGGAUAAUCCACGGAGGACCACCGAUGGCGAAGGCAUCUGACCAGAACGGAUCUGACGGUGAGGAACGAAAGCCAGGGGAGCGAACCGGAUUAGAUACCCGAGUAGUCCUGGCCGUAAACGCUGUGAGCUAGGUGUUGCAUAUCUCAAGAAGAUGUACAGUGUCGAAACGAAGGUGAUAAGCUCACCGCCUGGGAAGUACGGUCGCAAGACUGAAACUUUAAGGAAUUGUCAAUGAGCAC